UUACGACAUCAAGAACGCAUAUGCGUACCAACCGACUAUCUCGAAGCACGGUGGUUUAGAAUGUGGGUAGCUCUACCAAAAAUUCGAGCAAUCAG
rnacentral:ncRNA from 1 species